UACGUAGGUGCGAGCGUGUCCGGAAUUAUUGGCGUAAAGGAGCUUGUAGGCGGUUUGUCGCGUCUGCUGUGAAAAUCCGGGGGCUCAACCCCGGACUUGCAGUGGGUACGGGCAGACUAGAGUGUGGUAGGGGAGACUGGAAUUCCUGGUGUAGCGGUGAAAUGCGCAGAUAUCAGGAGGAACACCGAUGGCGAAGGCAGGUCUCUGGGCCACUACUGACGCUGAGAAGCGAAAGCAUGGGGAGCGAACAG
rnacentral:rRNA from 1 species